UAUCAUUUUAUUAGCAUGCGGACUCGACUCAACUGCCAAGGUGGAGGCGUUCUCUAUCCCCACAGCCCCCCACCUCCCGCUCUCUUUCUGUAAAUAGCUUCCAUUGUGAUCAGCCACAAAAGCAAGACACGUGCACUUGCAACCAAACGAGGUGGGCUUAAUUUUCAGGACAAACUCGUGCGUCUCUAAUGCGAAUAGCGAAUACCCUGAUGAGCCACUUCUACAGAUAUAUUUCUAGAGAAUAUUUACGUUGUGACUUUAAACUAUGUCUAUUGCUGAUUUCACAAUCAUUAUCCCUUAUCAACUGGACAGAGUAAAUGCCGAAAAGCAGGGCAGACUGCCUGCAGUAUUUAGUAUGCAGUUACAGAUUUCGUGCUCGUUCGAGGCUCUCUAUGGGUCUCUGGGUCCCCGAGCUCGUUGCCCAACGUCCAGUGUUCCUGACUGCUGGUUCAGAAUUUAUGCAUAUGACCUUAGUUAUUGACAUAAUUUCGUGGCUGGCGGAUUGGGCACGAAACGAAAACGAAAUGCGCAUUAAAUGCUGGUUGGGGCCCGAAAGGGAAAGAGAGAUUCCGAUUCCCCGAUCCGCCGGCUUCUCGAUUGUGCGAAAUUUUCACGCUGCUUUGGACAAAUGCGCAAAUUUGUACGGAGGAGGGGGAAGGGGCUGCCGAGGCAGUGGAUCCGCGGAUCGGAUCAGGUGAUUAUCACGGCCUCCUCCUCGCCGGUGCAUUUGUCAAAUUUUCCACUUAAUCCGACGUCAGCCGUGCUCACAUGGAAAAUUGUCACAGGCUCGGGUAAAGUUAAGGCUGGUGGUAAAAGGCGCCCCACGGCGACUCAGCUCCAUUGAGCUCCUCUGGACCGCGGCGCUUUAAUUGGUCUUAUGAAACGGACAAAGUGCGAAAUGAGUUAUGCGCACGCGCGCACCCGCAGUUGAGUCCCAGUCCCCCAGUGCCCAUCCCACAAUCAGGUCUCCACCUCGAAGUCCAGCUCCAGAGCCGAUCUCUGAGUACGAAUACGAAUCCGAAUCCGUGGCCGAUAAUGAACGCAUGUGGGAAUUCGAAAAUUGGAUUUGGGUAUUGUGCAACCAGCUUGGAAGUUGGUAGCCAGUGACACAGGAAGAAAAAACUGAGCUGUUUGGCUUUGGACGCCACGAAGAUAAUACCAAUGUCAAUUCAGAUAAUAACCAAAGUAAAUAAGAUAAUAAAAAGUAUUUCUCCGACUGCAUCCACAUUAGGAUUUUUGCUGCUGCCGUUGCAGUUCCACAGAUGCAAAAGUGCAAAUACUACGAAUGCGAGUGUAAGUGUGAGCACGCAAAGUAUCUAUUAGCGUCGCCUUUGCGCGCUGAAGUCAAACGGAAUCUGUUUAGCAGUCGCUGUCUUUGGCGUUUCUGUUUCUGUUUUCCCCGUUCGGGUUUCGGCCAUCGCGAAUUAUCUGUUAAUUUGUGGCAAUUUAGAGAUUUGCAGAUACGAAGCUCACUCUGUGCAUUCAACGGCAGCUGCUGAUACGCGAAGUCAUUGGACAGAAGUCAGCAAGUGGCUAACCGAUAUGGAUGGUGGCUGAUCAUCACUGGCUGAUCGAACAGGGGAUUGCUUUUCCAGUCGGAGAAAAACCCGAGUUCCUGUCAAUGGAAAUUAUAAAAUCUUUUUGUUUAGGGGAUGAAAUCGAUUGACCGAACGCAGCAUACUGUAUACUCCAACGGCCAGAGGGCAUCCAUUUUGGCACAGACUGUCCCAGCUUUAAACUUGGCCCAGACUAAGCCACGAUAAAUUCCUGACCAGCAGAACUGAACUGGGCGCAAACAGCAAACCACAAACAACUCCGGAUGAAGAGGAGGGUUCGCAGAGGGGCUCACUCGCUCCCAAUACGCAUGCGCAAUUUUUCAAAAGCUUUUAACGUGAAGAGCCCAGAAAAUUACGAUGUAAUUUUUGUAAUUUCUGUAAUUGCCUAAUUCUGAUUAAUUUGAAUUGACGAACGGUGGAGCAGCGCAAUUGGUCUACGAGGGGAGAGGAUCUUCAAUUGGAGUCCGAGGCCCAACACGACUAUUUCUGCCAGUGCACUGGCAUGUGGCUCCAAUAAGCAUUCCCUCGUUACCUUCGGUGAUCUUUCUAGGUGCAGAUAAAAAAAUUAGGUGACUAUUAGGUGAUUGUUAAAUAAAAUAAAAUAAAUCUGUAAAUUAUAUAGAUGGUAAAUGCGAGAUCUUAAGGUAGGUUUAGGAACGCCUUGAUAUUUUUUAGCUGUGCACUGCUUUCGCACACUCACAUCCCGUGGCCAGUGGCCCGCUUCAGUUCGCUGGUUAACUUCCUCCAACUGCUCCCUCGCCGGCGGAU